CCUACGGGAGGCAGCAGUGAGGAAUAUUGGUCAAUGGCCGGAAGGCUGAACCAGCCAAGCCGCGUGAAGGACGAAGGUGCCAAGCAUUGUAAACUUCUUUUGUCAAGGGACAAAAUCAGGCUCGAGAGCCUGACCGAGGGUACUUGAAGAAAAAGCAUCGGCUAACUCGGUGCCAGCAGCCGCGGUAAUACGGGGGAUGCGAGCGUUAUCCGGAUUGAUUGGGUUGAAAGGGGGCGUAGGGGGACUGUUAAGACAGCGGUAAAAGCCCGGGGCUCAACCCCGACGAGCCGUUGAAACUGGCUGUCUUGAGAUGUCGAGAGGUGUGCGGAAUGCGCAGUGUAGCGGUGGAAUGCUUAGAUAUUGCGCAGAACUCCGGUUGCGAAGGCGGCAUACCGGCGGCGAUCUGACGCUGAGGCACGAAAGCAUGGGUAUCGAACAGGAUUAGAUACCCGGGUAGUC
rnacentral:rRNA from 1 species